rnacentral:rRNA from 1 species
ACGCUCGACACCUACGGGAGGCGGCAGUGGGGAAUAUUGCACAAUGGGGGAAACCCUGAUGCAGCGACGCCGCGUGAGCGAAGAAGUAUUUCGGUAUGUAAAGCUCUAUCAGCAGGGAAGAAACUGACGGUACCUGACCAAGAAGCACCGGCUAAAUACGUGCCACAGCCGCGGUAAUCUGAGCGGGCUGGCAAGGC